rnacentral:rRNA from 1 species
GCAGUCGAGCGCGCCCUUCGGGGUGAGCGGCGGACGGGUGAGUAACGCGUGGGAACGUGCCCUUUGCUGCGGAAUAGCCACUGGAAACGGUGAGUAAUACCGCAUGAGCCCUUCGGGGGAAAGAUUUAUCGGCAAGGGAUCGGCCCGCGUUGGAUUAGGUAGUUGGUGGGGUAAUGGCCUACCAAGCCGACGAUCCAUAGCUGGUUUCAGAGGAUGAUCAGCCACACUGGGACUGAGACACGGCCCAGACUCCUACGGGAGGCAGCAGUGGGGAAUCUUAGACAAUGGGCGCAAGCCUGAUCUAGCCAUGCCGCGUGAGUGACGAAGGCCCUAGGGUCGUAAAGCUCUUUCGCCUGUGAAGAUAAUGACGGUAGCAGGUAAAGAAACCCCGGCUAACUCCGUGCCAGCAGCCGCGGUAAUACGGAGGGGGUUAGCGUUGUUCGGAAUUACUGGGCGUAAAGCGCGCGUAGGCGGACCAUCAAGUUGGGGGUGAAAUCCCGGGGCUCAACCCCGGAACUGCCUCCAAAACUGGCGGUCUGGAGUUCGAGAGAGGUGAGUGGAAUUCCGAGUGUAGAGGUGAAAUUCGUAGAUAUUCGGAGGAACACCAGUGGCGAAGGCGGCUCACUGGCUCGAGACUGACGCUGUGGUGCGAAAGUGUGGGGAGCAAACAGGAUUAGAUACCCUGGUAGUCCACACCGUAAACGAUGAAUGCCAGUCGUCGGCAAGCAUGCUUGUCGGUGACACACCUAACGGAUUAAGCAUUCCGCCUGGGAGUACGGCCGCAGGUUACAACUCAAAUGAAUUGACGAA